UACGGAGGGGGCUAGCGUUGUUCGGAAUUACUGGGCGUAAAGCGCACGUAGGCGGACUGUUAAGUCGGGGGUGAAAUCCUGGGGCUCAACCUCAGAAUUGCCUCCGAUACUGGCAGUCUCGAGUGCGGGAGAGGUGAGUGGAAUUCCCAGUGUAGAGGUGAAAUUCGUAGAUAUUGGGAAGAACACCAGUGGCGAAGGCGGCUCACUGGCCCGUAACUGACGCUGAGGUGCGAAAGCGUGGAGAGCAAACAGG
rnacentral:rRNA from 1 species